ACGUCAAGUCCUCAUGGCCCUUWCGSGCUGGGCUACACACGUGCUACAAUGGCGGUGACAGUGGGCAGCAAUCUCGCARGGGUGAGCUAAUCUCCAAAAGCCGUCUCAGUUCGGAUUGUUCUCUGCAACUCGAGAGCAUGAAGGCGGAAUCGCUAGUAAUCGCGGAUCAGCAUGCCGCGGUGAAUACGUUCCCAGGCCUUG
rnacentral:rRNA from 1 species